CCCCAACUGUAGGACGAGUCCCAAAUAGGACGAAAUGCACAUCUUGGAU
rfam:Trichobilharzia regenti genome assembly, scaffold: TRE_scaffold0018607